rnacentral:ncRNA from 1 species
UGCCAAUACAAUUUAUUGCGCUGUAUAUCUCUGGAAGUCUGGUCCAGAAGUCUCUACCACAUGACCGAAUCAUGUGACUACAGUCCAAACCCAUUCUGAU